AAUAAUGAUAAUGAUUUCAUUGUAUGAUUCUUCAAUGCAAAGAACUUAUUUCUCAUUGUGCCUCUAGCACUUUAACAAGAUAUUUGUGGAAUGAAUGAAUCACAAAUGAAGUGAGAAGAUCUGCGAAGUUAAAUCUGAGAAACGGAAGAAGCAGAUGCAGAAGAUUAAUCCAGCCUCCUGAGACCAGCCAUGAACUUCCCUCAGAGAUCUGUCUGCAAAAGCCGAGAUCAGAAAAGUUGUUAAACCACAGGCUGGGCCCCACGUCUAAAUAUGGACCAAGGAUCAUGAACAUUUGAGGAAAGCCUCUAACAUGAAAAGACAAGAGAAUCCUAAAGAAGAGCAAAGUGGGGGCUUCCCUGGUGGCGCAGUGGUUGAGAAUCUGCCUGCCAAUGCAGGGGACACGGGUUCGAGCCCUGGUCUGGGAAGAUCCCACAUGCCGCGGAGCAACUAGGCCCGUGAGCCACAACUACUGAGCCUGCGCGUCUGGAGCCUGUGCUCCGCAACAAGAGAGGCCGCGAUAGUGAGAGGCCCGCGCACCGCGAUGAAGAGUGGCCCCCACUUGCCGCAACUAGAGAAAGCCCUAGCACAGAAACGAAGACCCAACAUAGCAAUCAAUCAAUCAAUGAAUCAAUAAAUCUUUGAAAAAAAAAACAACAAAAAAAGAAGAGCAAAGUGGGAAGACUUUCCAUCCCAGAUAUCAAGACUAGUUAU